rfam:Flavobacteria bacterium BBFL7 scf_1099451317782 genomic scaffold, whole genome shotgun sequence.
UAAGCGACAGCCGAAAAGCUUAUAGAGUAGGCA